UGGCUACGAGGACGACGCUGGCGGCGUGCUUAACACAUGCAAGUCGAACGGGGUUCCUUGGAUAGAGGGCUUCGGCCAAUUGAAUUGGAACCUAGUGGCGGACUGGUGAGUAACGCGUGAGGAACCUGCCUUUCAGAGGGGGACAACAGUUGGAAACGACUGCUAAUACCGCAUGAUGCAUUCGGGUCGCAUGGCCUGAAUGCCAAAGAUUUAUCGCUGAAAGAUGGCCUCGCGUCUGAUUAGCUAGUUGGUGAGGUAACGGCCCACCAAGGCGACGAUCAGUAGCCGGACUGAGAGGUUGACCGGCCACAUUGGGACUGAGAUACGGCCCAGACUCCUACGGGAGGCAGCAGUGGGGAAUAUUGGGCAAUGGACGCAAGUCUGACCCAGCAACGCCGCGUGAAGGAAGAAGGCUUUCGGGUUGUAAACUUCUUUGACAGGGGAAGAGUAGAAGACGGUACCCUGAAAACAAGCCACGGCUAACUACGUG
rnacentral:rRNA from 1 species